UUGUUCUCUCUUCAACUAUACUAAAACUGGAACAAUACAGAGAAGAUUAACAUGGUCCCUAAGGAAGGAUGAAAUACAAAUUCAUGAAAUGCUCCACAUUUUU
ensembl:snRNA U6 U6 spliceosomal RNA